rnacentral:pre_miRNA from 1 species
CAAGUACUCCCUCCGUCCGAAAAUACUUGUCAUCAAAAUGGAUAAAAAAGAUGUAUCUAGAACUAAUAUACAUCUAGAUACAUCCCGUUUUAUUCAUUUUGAUGAAAACUAUUUCCGGACGGAGGGAGUACUAC